rnacentral:rRNA from 1 species
UUCGACGCAACGCGCAGCACCUUACCAGCUCUUGACAUGGCCGGACGGUUUCCAGANAUGAUCCUAUCCGGAACAGGUGUGACGAGCGCAACCCUCGCCAUUAGUUGCCAGCGGGAUGUCAAGUAUCAUGGCCCUUACGGGCUGGCUACAUACAUGGCGGUGACAUGGGCAGCAACUCAGCAAUGGGAAGCUUCUCAAAAAGCCGUCUCAGUUCGGAUUGGGCUGCAACUCGAGCCCAUGAAGUCGGAAUCGCUAGUAAUCGGGAUCAGCAUGCCACGGUGAAUACGUUCCCGGGCCUUGUACACACCGCCGUCACACCAUGGGAGUUGGCUUUACCCGAAGACGANGCGCUAACCAGCAAUGGAGGCAGCCNGCCACGUAGGGUCAGCGACUGGGGUGAAGUCGUACAAGG